rnacentral:rRNA from 1 species
AUGUCCGUCCCCGUGGAUAGCUCUAGCCCGCGGAAGAAAGGCCGCACUUCAUCGCCUGUCCGGUCUUCCCCUUCUCCCCACAGCGACGGCAGGACGGCGGUCGAGAGACUCACCGACGACCUCCUCGUGGAGAUCCUCUCGCGCGUCCCGGUCAAGUCGCUCUGCCGCUUCAAGUGCGUCUCCAACCACUGUCUGGCCCUCAUCGACCACCCCGAACACCGCAAGAAGCUCCCCCAGACACCGGCCGGCUUCUUCUACGGCAGCGCCAUCACUAGCGACUGGCUUCUGAAAUCCCCUGUCCACUUCACCGAUUUCCCGGGGAGACGCUCCCCUCCGUUCGACACCUCUUGCACCUUCCUGCCCGACCAUCGGCGCGUCGAACUAUUGGACUGCUGCAACGGCCUCCUCCUCUGCCGCUGGUAUGACGUUUCUGCCCAGGGUGACGAGUUCCACUAUAUCGUGUGCAAUCCCGCCACGGAGAAGUGGGUCGUGUUGCCAGACUCCGGCAAGGCCGCCAGCGAGGUGGCCACCACACGUUUGGGCUUUGAUUCGGCUGUGUCGAUGCAUUUCUAUGUGUUUGAGUUGGUAAAUGAGCAGGAGUUUUUUUGGGAUCCUGACAUUGUCGGAGUGGCAGUGUAUUCGUCUGAAACCGGAGGAUGGGUUUAUAAGGAAAAGAAAUGGAACUCACAAAUCAGGCUCAUUGAUCAUCGGUUUGCAUCUGUCUUUCUUAAUGGCUAUCUACAUUUUGAAGCCGAUUGUCGCGGAUCGUCCCCUUGUCUAGCUGUGGUGGACACGGAGGGGGAAACAUGGAUGAACUUCGGUUUCCCUGAUGGUCUGUUUGAUGGUUUUAUUCAGCGGUCACAGGGCCGCCUGCAUUAUGCCAAUUUUCAGGGAGAUGAAGAUGGUUCUACCACCCUAGUAGUUUAUGUUCUUGAGAACUAUCAAAGCAAAGAAUGGAUAUUGAAGCAUAGCGUCGAAAUUCCAUACAUAUUUGAAGCACCUCUACUUGAGUGGGUAGAUUUCCGCCUCGACAGGGACUUUGAUUGGAUUGCGAUUCAUCCAGAAUGCAACAUGAUAUUCUUCACUACUUGUUGGCAUGCCACAUUCACGUGCUAUAAUAUGGAUAGCGGGCAAGUCAAACUGAUAUCUGGUCUUGAAGUUCACAAGCCGCCAUAUAUGCCGUAUGUGCCGCUGUAUGUAGAGUUACAGUCAUUGCACAUUUGA